rnacentral:lncRNA from 1 species
UAAGUAAGUGUGAGUGUGUUCAUGAAAAAUAUAGAGUAACACUGAGGAUUUCUUUGGGAUUUAACUUUUAUAAUAAUAAAUUAAAUAUAUAUUACAAAUGAAAAGUUUGUCUAUUCGUCGACGAUGAAUAACUCUGAGCACUGAUAGGUAUUACCACCAAUAUGCUAUAAAUAUAAAAAUUACGUUUAAAAUACGUAAAUGAAUAAUUUUAUAUAGAAAUUACUAAAAUAGUGCAAGAAAUAUAUAAAUAAUAAGUUGGGAAAAAAGUCAUUUUGUAUUCCCGCCUCUUUUUAAUCUAAGGAGAUAUUGUUCAUUAAUGGGCAUAUCGGGUCAUACGAUAAGGCGUUGCAAAGGUACGAGUGUAGACUACAAACUUAUUUUAACAAUAUUGCACUUAGCAUGUUUAGUCAUGAAUUAUCGUGCGUCAAGUAUGGAGGUCUCAAAGGAAGAAAUUUGCCCUAUUUUACUACCUAAAAGGAGAAAAACGCAUCGAAAGCGACAAAAAUAAUUGGCUUUGUAUACGAGGCCAAAUUAUUUCGGUUCCUGUUGCACAACAGUGGUUCGAACCCACUUCGUUCUGGGGUAGUGGAGGUGAGUGAUGGGCUUGCACUGACAGGCCUGUCUUCAAAAAUGUCGAUAAAAAUCAUGGAAAAUAUCCAAAUAGACCGUAAUGUAAUCAGUUGUAGUAUCGCUCAGAAGGUAAACAUCGAUCAUAAAACCCUUUAGAACCAUUUGGAGAAGGCUGGAUACAAAAAGAAACUUAGCAUUAUUGUUUUAAAUUAGGGGUGGGGCGGUACUUUUUGUGGGAUUACUUAAUUUUCCCAGACGGAAAUAUGUUGUCAGACUUGGUUUUUUAUGAUAUAAUGGCAUUAUACUUUACACUGAUGCAAGUUUUGUCCAUGCACCUGAUGGCUUGAAACAAAGUUAAAAAAAUCAUUGUUCUAGGUGACAUAAGUAAUUUCAGGGGUCAAUCCUUCUGUAUCUUCUGUGGCAGGUUCUCGGACUAAUAGUAAGUUUAUAAUAGUCAUUGUUUUUUAAAAAAUUACUUUUUAUAAUAGAUGCUGCAAAAAUCUUAAGAGAGAUUUUUUCAGUACUUGUAGUAACUAGAUAGUCAAUAUUCAUACUAAUUAAACUUUUGAUGACUCUUAUAUAUCCUUUCCAUAAUAUAAUUUUUUCAAUCACUGAUGCAUAUUUGACGUAAUUAUGUUUUUAGGAUAAACCCCAGUUAAUACUUUUCAAGUGAAUUGAAUGUUGCUAAUAAUUACUUGCCUAAAAGAAUCUUAGAAAAUAAAAUUUUAACUCUUUGCAACACACGAAACUCAACCUUUAAUCACUUGAAUGAUUUUAAUGAUUUAAAAAAUAAUUGAACUCGCUAACAAUAAAAUUAAUGAAAAAAAAAACAUUUAAAAUAUAUGAUAAAAGUCUAAUUUGAGACAAUUGUCACAAGGAGGAUAAUUAGAUUAGUUAUAUAGCUAUAUUCAAUUUAGGCAAAUAAAAAUAUCUUAUAGCUAUUCAGGAAAUUUGUUGCAAUUUGUUGUUCAUGGUUAAAUAAAGUACUUUGUUAAACAUAAGCUCUUAUUUAAAUUAGGAACUUCUUUACUGGGAUAAUGAUUAUAUUGUUGAAUGAUUAUAUUUUUGUAUUUAAAAGUAGAAUAAAAUACCACAUCAAACUUAAUUUAUUUUCAUUAAGAUAUAUUCCAAAUAAAUGUAGUGUUGGGGAUGAAUUUUCCUCGUAAUGAACUUGCUUUAGGAUGAACUCUCCUUGCAAUGAACUUUCUCCGGUAUGAACUUGUCUUGGGAUGAAAAAAGGAAGUGAACUUUCUGGGGGUGAAAAGAUGAGGUGAACUUUCCGUACACGACCUGCAUGAGGUGCUUCUUUAAGUGUAAGGAAUAAAAAAGCUUAAGAAAUAAUAACAGGAGAAAAAGCUCAAUCUCCACUGAAACUCAAAUCCAUUGUUCGAUUUUGAUCAUUCGUGUCUGUUCAUUAUGUUGUGAAUUAAUUGAAUAGCAGAGGGACCCCGGGUCUCGAGUUGGACUUCAGUCCAUAUUUUGAAGACUUGCAACUCUACUUGAUCUUACAAUCAAAGACUCAAUACUUGACUUGGACUCGAUAGCUAAGAUUAGCGACUCAAAAGUAAUUUUAUGCUGAACUCUCGCGAAGCCUAAACUCUAUGGACCUUAUAUUACAAUUAUGGACUUGAAUUUUUUCAAAAGAAAUCUGAUCAAGAUAUUCAAGGACUUGGACUAACAUUAUAAGGACUUUUUUCAACUUCUCUUGAAUACUAUUCAUUUUUCGACAUGGACUCAAGAUGUGUCUACUUCAGUAACAUUAGUUUUCAAGUCGCCUAACUUAUUUAGACUCAUAAUAUUUGUAUACUACUGUAUCUUCCAGGAGUCUAGGAUUUUGAUUUAAAAUAAGAUAAAAAGAAGAAAAUAUAUAAUAUAAUUAUAAAAAGGAUUAUGAAAUACUAAUGUUCCUAUUUUAUCUGAUAAAUAUUGUAGUAAUAACGGAAUUCGCUUAUAUCAAAGUAUUUUGCCCCAAGAUUUGAAACUGUUCCUAUUGAAUUUAGAAAGACUAUAAUUUAAAAUUGGUAAUUUUUCGAAACAUCCUAUUUUAUUUAUGUAUUCUCAUUAUCUACCAAUAAAAUAUAAUUUCGCUUGCAGAGUUUAUAUUCAUAAAUAAUUUUAGUGGUCCAUUGGUUACACUGUCCAACAAAAUCACACUUUUUUAAAGCACUAUGACAGCAUACGCUCUACUUAGUAGAAUCUUAUCCCGAAUUUCAAAUAAUGCCUACUUUUUUGGAAUUAUCUUCAUGGCCUUCAGAAAAAGUCAUAAAGUUUUUUUUGUUUUUUUAGGGUUCAAAGCUUUUUUGAGUGUUUGCCAUUGAUCAUAGAGAUAAAUAAUGUGAAUAUCCUUUAAAGCAUAAUGUCAAAAAAUUAUAAACAAUUUUUAAUAUGGAUGUAUCAUGCUCAUAACUCAAGUAAUCUUUGAUUAAAGUUGAAAACAAGUUAUUUUUAUUCAGAGACUCAUGGCUUGAAGAAGAAUAUAUUCAAAAAGAUUAAAAGUAUGUUACUUAAUAGCUGAAAUUUGGAACUUUAAUUUUUUAUGUAAGAGCUUC